rnacentral:rRNA from 1 species
GAUGAACGCUGGCGGCGUGCCUAAUACAUGCAAGUCGAGCGAACGGACGAGAAGCUUGCUUCUCUGAUGUUAGCGGCGGACGGGUGAGUAACACGUGGAUAACCUACCUAUAAGACUGGGAUAACUUCGGGAAACCGGAGCUAAUACCGGAUGAUAUUUUGAACCGCAUGGUUCAAAAGUGAAAGACGGUCUUGCUGUCACUUAUGGAUGGAUCCGCGCUGCAUUAGCUAGUUGGUAAGGUAACGGCUUACCAAGGCAACGAUGCAUAGCCGACCUGAGAGGGUGAUCGGCCACACUGGAACUGAGACACGGUCCAGACUCCUACGGGAGGCAGCAGUAGGGAAUCUUCCGCAAUGGGCGAAAGCCUGACGGAGCAACGCCGCGUGAGUGAUGAAGGUCUUCGGAUCGUAAAACUCUGUUACUAGGGAAGAACAUAUGUGUAAGUAACUGUGCACAUCUUGACGGUACCUAAUCAGAAAGCCACGGCUAACUACGUG